GCUCACUCACUUUGACAGCACACGUUAAAACUGGAACAAUACCAAGAAGAUUAGCAUGGCCCCUGCACAAGAAUGACAUACAAAUUCAUGAAGUGUUGCAUGUUCUU
rnacentral:snRNA from 1 species